UACGUAGGGAGCAAGCGUUGUCCGGAAUCAUUGGGCGUAAAGCGCGCGUAGGUGGCCUCAUAAGUCCGCUGUGAAAGUCAAAGGCUCAACCUUUGAAAGCCGGUGGAUACUGUGAGGCUAGAGUACGGAAGAGGCGAGUGGAAUUCCUGGUGUAGCGGUGGAAUGCGCAGAUAUCAGGAGGAACACCGGUGGCGAAGGCGGGUCUCUGGGCCGAUAUUGACGCUGAGGAGCGAAAGCGUGGGGAGCAAACAGG
rnacentral:rRNA from 1 species